UACGAAGGGGGCUAGCGUUGCUCGGAAUCACUGGGCGUAAAGGGUGCGUAGGCGGGUCUUUAAGUCAGGGGUGAAAUCCUGGAGCUCAACUCCAGAACUGCCUUUGAUACUGAGGAUCUUGAGUACGGGAGAGGUGUGUGGAACUCCGAGUGUAGAGGUGAAAUUCGUAGAUAUUCGGAAGAACACCAGUGGCGAAGGCGACACACUGGCCCGUUACUGACGCUGAGGCGCGAAAGCGUGGGGAGCAAACAGG
rnacentral:rRNA from 1 species